CGCUUUCUGAUUAUCAUCGGUGUCGCUUUGAUCGUGCUUUGCGAUUUGGGUGCCGAUGGGCAGCGGCGUCUUCGUGGAGAUAUUUCGCUCGGUUUCUUCCUCCUCUCCGUUCUGUCCGCGUGUCCAUCACCGCAUCAUGAUUCCGUCUCGGAGCAGCAGCGGAGGCUAUGUCCCGGCAUCCUCUUUCCCAACCGUCGAGGAGGACUGCCGCGGCUCUUUCCAUGGGGGCCUCCGAGAUGUUGACCGGGUUCUUGCACCGGCGGCUGCCUGAGAGGGACGCCCAGAGAUACAUGGCCUUGAAUUGGACCAUCACCAGCAUCUGAUCCUCUUCGUGGUGGCCAUGAGGUAGGGCGUCGUCGAGACCCAGUCCCGCAAGUUGCAGUUCACCUGAUUCGAUUGGUUCUUUAUUAUUUUGUACACAAGCAGACACGUUCCCAUGAUGAAGUUGAGUAUAUAUGCACAAGCCUCACCUUACGUGAGAGGAAUUGUGUACCAUAUGGUGUGGAUACGACUCAAGGGUCACUAUAUCUGUUGGUUAUGUAAGUGCAUAUGGACUACAAAAGCUUACUGAACCUGAUGGAACGAAGCCGCUCUGGCAGAGCUGUAAUGUUGUGGCUGUUUUGAGAUUCAUAGGUCUAAGGAGGAUAGAUGAGGAGGGAAAGGAUUUCGAGCUGUGAGUUGCAACACUCAACCGUAGCAAAACCAUUUGUAGUUUCAGUGUAAGACUGAAUUCUGAUGAUGCUUAGCUCUAUUGAAGCCUUAAAAAGGGGAAAAGGGUUAUAGAUCUAUUGAGAUUUGAGCUUUUCUUAUUAAAAAAAAAAGAUGUGUUCCAAAACUGUUCCGAGUUCCUAGAGAACUCUCCGAGAGCUACUCAUUUUGCUUUUGGUGUUUCGCUGUGACUAUCACUGUACUACCAAUAUAAAUUCAAAUUGGAUCUGAUUAUUGUUUAUCUCAAGUU